UGAUUGUGUAUUUUUCGAUAA
rnacentral:piRNA from 1 species